AAGGAUCAUUAUCGAGUGUUGAACCCUUUUUUUGUAAAAGGAGGGUUACCUCCCGUCCUUUGCUGAGGGCUACAUUACCUUUUGAUAGGAGGGAAUGUGCUUUUUUCAGAAAAACCUUCUGCUUCGGCGUGGUUAUUACCCCCGCCGGAACACCCUCAAAAUUCUUGUUUAAAAAAUUGUUCAGUCCGAGAAAAUUUUAAAGCGAAUAAAAACUUUCAACAACGGAUCUCUUGGUUCUG
rnacentral:misc_RNA from 1 species